GACGAACGCUGGCGGCGUGCCUGACACAUGCAAGUCGAGCGAGUGAAUCUCCUUCGGGAGUGAAGCUAGCGGCGGACGGGUGAGUAACACGUGGGCAACCUGCCUCAUAGAGGGGAAUAGCCUUUCGAAAGGAAGAUUAAUACCGCAUAAGAUUGUAGCUUCGCAUGAAGUAGCAAUUAAAGGAGCAAUCCGCUAUGAGAUGGGCCCGCGGCGCAUUAGCUAGUUGGUGAGGUAGCGGCUCACCAAGGCGACGAUGCGUAGCCGACCUGAAAGGGUGAUCGGCCACAUUGGGACUGAGACACGGCCCAGACUCCUACGGGAGGCAGCAGUGGGGAAUAUUGCACAAUGGGGGAAACCCUGUUGCAGCAACGCCGCGUGAGUGAUGACGGCCUUCGGGUUGUAAAGCUCUGUCUUCAGGGACGAUAAUGACGGUACCUGAGGAGGAAGCCACGGCUAACUACGUGCCAGCCGCCGCGGUAA
rnacentral:rRNA from 1 species